UAUUGUUGUUGUUGCUGCAAUUAAUUAUUACUAUUGUUGUUGUUGUUGUUAUGGUUGCUGAUGAUGGGAAAAUAAUUUUGCCCAGUUUUGAGGGUUAUAUUGUUGUUGUUUUCGUACUGCGUAUUCAGGCCAAAAAUCUAUCUGUAGUCCAUACUAUUUUGGCAAUUAGCUUAGCCAUAGAGAUUAUGCCCUCAUAUGAUUUCUUUAGAAACUUGUUUCAAUCUGAUGAGAUUGUAGCUGCUAAAAGGAUUUCCUGAUAUCUUUGUACACAAUAUUGAGAAAUAUGUGGCACCUACAAAUUCUAGCUAUUUUGCGAGAACAUAGAGUGCCGACUCCGAUACUGCUAGGUUGGUUCUUUACCAUCCUAAAGUUUUCAUGGUAAGUUCUGAUCAGGCUGAGAAGUGGAGGAGACUGAGUUUGACGCUUCGAAGGAGAAGUAGACUCAAACUACAAGAAGGCAUAAAAAUUCUACAAUAUGUGAUUAGAUACGUAAUAUUAUGGGGAAAGCGAAAUGCUUGUACCUGGUUAUUGAUAAUUCUGUCUCCCAAACAAAAUGCAGACAAGGGAGGAAAAUUUGUAUGAGGCAUAAACAAGGGGUUUGCAAGGCUUAUUUAAUUAUUCUCUGUGAUUCUUAGAGCAUUUUUAUGGUGAUUAUUGAUUAAUGAUAGAAAGUUUCUUGAUCGCGAA